rnacentral:tRNA from 1 species
GCCUGGGUGGCUCAGUUAGUUGGGCGUCUGACUUCGGCUCAGGUCAUGAUCUUGCGGUCUGUGAGUUCAAGCCCCAUGUCAGGCU